rnacentral:rRNA from 1 species
GACGUAGGGGGCGAGCGUUGUUCGGAUUUACUGGGCGUAAAGCGCGCGUAGGUGGCUAGAUAAGUUGGGUGUGAAAGUUUUUGGUUUAAUCGAGGUUUUGCAUCCAAAAUUGUUUGGCUCGAGUCUAGGAGAGGAGAGCGGAAUUCCCAGUGUAGCGGUGAAAUGCGUAGAUAUUGGGAGGAACACCCGUGGCGAAGGCGGCUCUCUGGACUAGUACUGACGCUGAGGCGCGAAAGCUAGGGGAGCGAACGGG